GAGGGGCUGAACAGCAGUAUAGAAACAUAGAAACAGGAGGAAACUUUCAGAGACAGCUUAUAUCUUUCUGUCAGUUUGUCUCUGUUCAUCUAAGAUGCAGUUGCUGUAUUCAGUGUUGUUCCUGACAAUAUUUAUGGGUGUCAGUUGUGAGGACCUCACUCCACUCAAGAAAGAAGAGUACUGUUUAGAGGGAACCCAUGUUACCCUGUCUUACAACUACUCCAGAACAGCUUCUGCUGGAGAUGAAUUCUAUUGGUAUCAUCAAGACACAGCACAAAGGCCAGAGUUCCUCCUGUACAUCUCAGGUACAGGGUUUAUAAAGAAAGCAGAUCCUCUGAACACUCGAAUAUCUACAAAACUGAAUGAAGAGAAAAACCGUUUGGAUCUGGAGAUCUCCUCUGCUGAAGUGACAGACUCUGCUCUGUACUACUGUGCUGUGAGGCCCACAGUGACAGGAAACCUACACACACUGUACAAAAACCUCAGCAGGGACCACAUCUGCAGGAAUAUACCCUUACUUUUUAGACAUCAAAACACUAAUAAAUGCUGUGAAUGUCUCCUGUAA